CAACUUUAGACGGUACAUUAUAUGUCUACCGUGGUUGUAACGAGUACAGAGAAUCAGGGUUUGGUUCUGGAGAGGCCGCCUGAGAAACGGCGACCACUUCCAAGGAAGGCAGCAGGCGCGCAAAUUACCCACUCUCAAAAUGAGGAGGUAGUGAAGAGAAAUAACGAUGUUAGUCUUUUCAAGGCUGACAAUCGGAAUGGGAACACUGUAAAAAGGUUAUCGAUUAACAAUUGGAGGGCAAGUCUGGUGCCAGCAGCCGCGGUAAUUCCAGCUCCAAUAAGGAAAACUAAAGUUGCUGUGUUUAAAAAGCUCGUAGUUGAAUUUCGGGUAUUUGUUGCUAGUUGGUCUAACUGGCCAUAUUGGUUAACAGAUCCUCAUUUGCUGGACGGCUGGCGAUGAUCUUUAUCGAUUGUCGUCAGUUGCCAGAACGUUUACUUUGAGAAAAAUUAGAGUGCUAAAAAGCAGGCUCACGCCUAUAUAUAUUGCAUGGA
rnacentral:rRNA from 1 species